GACUCGCCUCGCCCCGCCAGCGAAGUGUACGGCCAAUACAGACUCUGAGGAACUAAAAAACCGUCUGCAUUUGAAAUAUCUGUCUUAAUUUAAUAAGAAACUUUCCCUCUUUCUUGUUUUUCUUGCUUUUGGUUUUUGGUUCUCUCUGCAUGCAAUUCCCUCUCUCACACCUCCACCUUGCAGCUCUUGGCUUCUUCUCUCUCCCUUUCUCUCAUUAAUUACUUUCUGAACAGAAAACUCGCUUUCUGUUUCAUUUUUGUUUUUCUUGUUUUCUGAAUCGAAGCGUUUCCAUUCUUGUUCGGAAAUCAAAUACCCUGAAGCCGGAGCCAGCAGCCAUGGCUGAUUCUGGAAACUGGUGGAAUAGUCGAUUAAUGUUUGAACGCUAUCUUUAUGAUUACUUGAAGAAACGGAACUUGCAUCAAGUUGCGGAGAUCUUCAGGAGAGAGACGGACAUCCAGAUUGACCCUACGGCUCGGCCAUCUAUAGAUGUUCCUGAUGGUUUUCUGCAUGAAUGGUGGUCCACAUUCUAUGACAUGUUCAAUGCAAUGCAAUCAAACAAUCAUGAGAAUAAUCAGGCUCUUGACAGAAUGGCUGAAAACCUUAUGGAAAUUGGGCAACAAAGCAAUGCUUCACUGCAAAAUUAUGAAUCAAAUGAUCAAAUGAUUAUGCAUCCAACUGUUAGAGCUGAUUCUGGAUUGACUGCAAUGGGCGACAAUCCACUGCCAUCUGUGGGGUGGCCUUUGACAGGAGAUGUGCAAAUGGCACAACAUUUUUCAUUUUCUCAACAUCAAGAAGAUUUAGCAAAACUCACCUUGGAGACAUCAUAUCAACAAGGGUUGCCAGCACUCACAUCAGAGACAUUGUAUCCUGCUGGCAACCUUUUCAAUUUAAGUGCACAAGAAAUAGAAAGUGAUGUUCGCACAGCCCUGAGAAUAGAUAAUGUUGUGCCUAAAGAGGGAAUUACACAAAUGCCACAACUGUGGGCAUCAUCCCAAAAUCAACAAAUGGUACCAUCAUCCACAUCAUGGACAUUGAAUUCCUCAGGAAAUUUUUCUGAUUUGAAUGCUCUAGGAGUAUACUCUUCGGUUCACAUAGCAUCCGGAGUGGAUAAUGUUUUGUUUGACCAGGGAUCUGCAGUAGUACCUCCUGGGAUUGAGAAUUAUGUGUUAAACUCAUUUCGGGUGUCAGAACAGCAUCAGAAUGAAUUCAGUGACAGAAUACCAUUAAUUGAGGCUAGCAGAAUGGGUACUAAGCCAUCAUAUUCUCAAUGUGGAAGUGGAGGCAUACAAGGAGUUGCUAAUUCUCCUGCAGAAGCUUCAUCUCAAUUUCAAAUUCACAAUUCCUUCCCUCAUAAUGCCAAUCCAUCUUCUUCUUAUGCAUAUGACAGUGAAAAUGAAGCAUGCAGUUCCAUUGGCAACCUGCAAAAAUGCUCUGCAGCUUCCAAAUGCAAAUUCUCUGAAAGAUGGGAUACCUUUAGAAGGCUUUCUAGUCAACUUCAUUUCCCAAGAUCUUAAAUAUGCUACUGUCAUCUUCAUUUACUCAAAACUUCAUACUUCUCAGCAUGAUUUGGGAUCCGCCAGGUUCUGUUCUGAGACGAUUGCUUCAAGGAAUUGGUUGCCUUCCAACUGAGUACUUACUUUCUUCGCUAGUCUUCCUCAAAUAUAUUAAAAAAUGAAGAAUGGAAAGCUGCAGUAUAAAAUUCAGUAUACCUGCACUGGUAAGUUUUCUGAUUUUUGUCAUCUUUGCAGUAAGAUUUCUAUUUGUUGAUAGUGGUUUAUAAGCUUCCACAAAAUGCAUGUAGCUCAGGUCUCUUUUAAUUUUUCCUAAAUUUCAAGAAGGCAGGUUGACCAUACCAGUCUCAUUUUCAUGAUCUGAUUUUUUCAUCAAAGAAUAAAAAAAUCUGAAGAUUGUAUUUUUUAUUUUUUUUAGCAUUUAUAAAUUCCAUAAUUUUUGUUGGAGAUGUGAAGUAAAAUGUUCCAGUUCUCUGAUUGUUUAAAUGAACUAGGUUGUCUAGUUGACAUUGGCAACCAUUCUCAUUAUCAUGAAUUGACCUCUGUCAUGCACUGAAUGAGGUUUGAAUUCAAUAUUCUUCUUUUUUAAUAUCUUAAUGAGGUUUACUUGAUGUUUAAAUAUUCAAUUAAAGUUAUUAAAAAAUAAAAAUGAGCAAUUUGCAAUAUUUGUAGAUGUUUAUUUUUCUUGUGUGCAUAAAGUGCAGCAAUUCCAGUUCAUGUCCUGCUGUCUGCCAUUUUUUAUUAUUGUUUCUUGAAAUCUAAACAUACUGUGUGUCCAAGCAAUUUGGGGCACAAUUGCUAAGCAAGUCAACAAUAUCCAUCAUUAAUGGGAAUUUAUGAAAUUGCUCGUUCCAAUUAUUUUAUACUAUAAAUAUGCAAACCUUUUAUAGUAUACAGUUAUUAAUUGCUUAAUGGUGACAAUAGUUACAUUGCCCAACCAUUAGAGUGUUUGAUCCACAGCUGCUAUUUAUGCUAUUUAAAAGCUUAAGCUGUUAGGUUGUGGGUCAACAAUGUAUAUCAAGCCUUCUUCCCCGCACAUGGCCCAGCAGCACGUGGAGUGAGAUAAACAAACAAUAAACAACACCUAUUUACAAGGCAACAAGACUAGAACCCUAGACCUCCUAGCAACCUGGCUCUGAUACAAUGUUAGAUUACCAGUUUACCUAAGAGCUUAAGCUGUUAGGUUGUCGGCCAACAAUGUGUGUGUGUGUGCUUAGAGAGAGAGAGAGAGAGAGAGAGAGAGAGAGAGAGAGUACUUCCAUCUAAUAUAUAAGCAUAUGUAUAUGUAAAGACACUAUUGAGCAACAGAGAAAACGCUCUUUUGGUUCUCAAUAGAAUAGUUUACGAUGACAGUAACCUCCAGAAAAACUAGAUCUAAAUGACAUACAUGCUGGACAUAUACACUGAACCCCUUCCUAGAAAUUAGCAUGCAUGAAUCAAAACCAACCCCCGCCAAAAAAACUUGAAUUUUUUUUUUUUUACUUAAAAAAAGAACAUCUGGAUCCAAAAAUUCUAAAUCCAAACAAAAUUAAAUGAAUUCUGGACCCAAUCCAAUAGGACUAAUGCGAAACAGAUAACAUAAGGCAACACAAUAAAUUUUUAGCCUUUAAAUGCAAAAUAAGAACCUUAAGAAAUCGCCUUUCCCUUGUUUUCAUAACAAGUGACAUAAAAGACACAUUGCUUGCUCUAUUCAUUUUUAGCUUCCAUCAAUUCCACCUCCUCCAUUGGAUUAGGAAAAGAAAGAAUCGUUGUAGUUUAUGUGGGUGAUAUAUAAUAUUUAGUUUCCUGAACCAUUUUAUCUUAGAUGUACAGAUUUCCUGAUGAAAGAAUAUCAUAGUUUUCAGUUCAAGAACUUAUGCAAGAAGCGAAGAAAAUAUCAACUGCACUUUCAUACGACUCAACUCCAUAAUCAUCAGAUGCAUGCACUUUCAUUAUAUAUAAUAUCUCAGAGAGAGAGAGAGAGAGAGAGAGAGAGAGAGAGAGAGAGAGAGAGAGAGAGAUGAGUAAUAUAUGAUAGUGAGUUUAUUCUAAAAAUGGAGUUCAUGGGGCAUUGUAGAAAAGUAAGAAACCUUUGGUCUUGUUUGUGGAAAAGGAUACAAAGAUAAGCUCAACUGUGUUUUUAUCUUUGCAGAGCUCAAUUAUAUAUUAAUAUAUUAUUUAUUUAUUCAUAUAUAUACAUCUAAGAACUUAUCCAAAAGACUGUACUUUUUUAAUGGUUGGAGAUGGACUUUAUCCGUGAGAAUUAUCCAUAAGAAAGUGAAUUUCAUCAUCUAGCUUAGUACUUUGGACAUCUCCUAGCUUAGUAGGCAGCCGUACUACUGCUAGCAAUAUAUGAAGUCUGUCCUUAGCAUUAUUACGCAUAGUCCGUAAAACAACUGUAUCCAUACAGAUCAUAGCCUUCAGAGUUCUAUUCCGACAGACUUGAACCAAUACAGUGGAAGUUCUUGACAUUUGACGCGUGGCUCUGGCUCAGCAAUGUAAAUGGGCAAUGUGAUCAAGCCCCUGUUCAUGGUUAUCCCUCCAAACAGAAAAGCUGCUGUUAAUACCGCCCCAGCUGGAAUUUGGCAACACAGUAAAUUUUUAGCCUUUAAAUGCAAAAUAAGAACCUUAAGAAAUCAUAUUUCCCUUGUUUUUUUAACAUUUAGAUCAGAGUUUAAUGGCUUCAUGAUCAUAUUCGAAGUCCUCAAAAGUCAUAUGUUAGCCGACUUGGAAGAAGGAUUUGUUAAGCCAUUUUUUGAUAUGUAUGGCUGACCAUGGCAAUGCUACCUUGUUCUAAGUACAGUUCAAAUUGUUCAAUUGAGGGCUGUAGAGGUUUGUAGCAAUAUAAAACUACUUGAGUGAUGGGAAGACCAAUUUAUAAGUGCAAAAUAAUGUGAAGAGAUAAAGACCAAAUACCUGUGUUUUAAGUACAUUUGAAUCGAACAUACUUUAAUAUCAUGAAAUUGUAAGCAAGGACAUCCUCUAUGUAUGAGCAGCAAAUUGAUUCUUAUGUGAUCUUUGACUUGAUAAUUUGCCAAUAUGGCUUGACAAGUUUUGAUCUCAUGUGUUUACUUAUUCCAAGUAUAUUAACAACAGCCUUCUUGAUGGGCGACUUAGAAAAAGGUCUUAUGUUGUAUUUCAUUUGCAAUUGAUGAAUGAGUGGAAUAGGGGAUUGGGAUUUAACUUUCAUUGGAGUAGGAAUGAGGAAUUAGUGAACCUGUUGGAUGAAAGACGAUGUGUUAACCAGCAGAAGAAACAUUUCUUUGGGGCUGAUGUAAUAUUGCUAAAAGUUCAAUUAUUAUCGACAGCUUGUGGCUGAUGUAACAUUUCUUUGGCAACCAUUCUUGCAGCCUCUUUUUUUUUUUUUUUUUCAUUUUUAAUCUUUUUAAUGAGCCAACUUAACGCAGGUAAUGCCCUAAUAUGCCCAAAUAGUUUUGCAUUUUUAGAGACAGUACACUAGUUUUUUGUGACUACUCAAUUGCUACUGAGUACAAAGCACACAUGACCUAAAACACAAAAUAUAUAUAUGAGAAAAUUUUGUGAUGAAUACUAUUAUGGCUUACUGCUUGAGGUCAACAUUGGGUUAAUGUAAGAUAUAAUGCCUCUAACAGGAAAAUUAAAUAUCAGAACAAUGCCUGGGCAAUUUGGAUGGUUCCUUGUAUGCUUUGCUAUUUCUUUCUGUCUUUUAACUAUUAGUUGACUCCUUUUGCAACCCUGUGCAAGGAGCUGAUUCUUCUUUGGUUACUAUAGCAUAUAAAACCUCUCUUUUAUCUUCCAUGAUCUUAAAUGGAUGAGAAGCCAAAAGAUAUUUUGGGUAAUAAUGACUAUCAACUUAACGAUGGCCAUGACCAUUUCAACCAUUAGGUUUCUUAUUCAUUGAGCACCUUGUUCCGAAUGUCGAUUCAUCUUUAAUUACCAGAAAGUCUGAGUUCGGACCUUGCUCCAUUCUUUCAGUUAAAAUUUAAAUCAUAGGACAAGAAUGGUGAACCUGCGAUCCAUCCACUCUUCUAGCUCAAUGGAUGUAUCAUGUUCCAGCUCUUCAAAGCCUACUAUGGUACCAACUUUCAUUUUUUAAGUCUCAAAAUCUACAUAAAUUCAAAUCCAAUUUAGAAGUAUGAAUUUUGAAACUUGGAUUUGAAUUUGUGUAAAUGUGGAAAAAAAAAAAAAAAACCCCACAAUAGAAUUUGAUAGUAUGUUUUAUCAAAAUCUACACAUCCAAUUCUAAUAAAAUCUCAAAAUUCAUACACAAACAUUACCAAAGUACUUUGGAAAACUAGAGCUAAAACAUAACUAAGAAACCCACAAAACACAAACAAUCUAGCUUAAUUUAUUUCAAACUAGUGUUACGCUUAAUUUCAAACACUGAGAACUCCAUAGAAAGUAACUAAUAGAGAAUGCACAGCAGAUGUGCAAAAUCUAGCUUUCCAUCCAUGGCUUUUCAAUUGUCACUCCUCUUGGGUUUGUCAGAAACAACAGUUCCCUGCAAACAAUAAACCCAAUCAAAAGCUCAAGUUAGAGAUCUUUCUCAAACCCCCCAUACCAAAACAUUUUCCUUUCAGUUUAAAUUCUGACCAAAUCGGCGGUGACCGGAAUCCAAUCGUUGGUGGCCGGGUUUCCCCUGCCGGAGCCGUGGCAGCCGGUGGCAGAAUCCGGCGCCAGGCUGAAGCAUUUCCCGUUGGCAUUCUCCAUCUUGAUGAACCCUGUUCCCGUCUGCAGUCGCAACACACACCAGAUCUCAUAAGGUGAAGAACUGAAAUUUUCUUUUCUUUUCUUUUGGAAGCAUUUAAGAUGAGAUGAUCUUAGCCGAAGCCAAAAGCAAAUCACAUUGUGAUAUGGUGGAUUGGUGUACCGUGUGGUGUUGCUUGUCAAUGCAGUUGAGAUCCUUGUAGUACUCCGUCUCCACGAAUUCCUCCGGCGUUUCGCUUCCGCUGUAAACUAGUUUCUGCGCGCAAUCAAAUUAACAAAUGCAUGAAAAUUCGAGAUGGUGUGUUUUUUUCAGAGCUGAAAUUCGAGAUUAUAUGGAUCUGAAUGUGUUUGGAGAAGAAAGAAGAGAAGAGAACCUUGGGAUCACUUUCGAGGCGUUGGAAUUCGUCAUAUUCGGGAAUUUGAUUGCAAUUGGAGAGAGCGUCGGCGUAAUUGGAAGAGUACUCGCUGCGCUGAGGCUUGGUAUGGCGCUUGGGAACGACGCCGUCAAAGUACUCUCUCGUCUCCUCCUCGAUUUUGGUCUCUGCCUCCAUCGACAGGUGAGCGUCGCUCCUGUUUGGCCUCACCUUCCUGCAAUUACAAUUCUCCAUUUCUCCGACGAUGAUGAAGAUGACGAUGAUAUGAUUCUCUCUGUACCUACUCUUUUGUUCUUGAGCUUGGAGAGAUCGGGGAAAGGAAAGGGCAAUUUAUUUCAAAAAUCAAAGGAGAGAGGCGGAAUGUGGGUCCAGAAAAUAUCGAUCAAUAUAUCAACCAGAGCCCUUAAACUUUUCUUCGGAGAAAAUAUCUGGAGAACCUUAUCCGUCUAGCACAUGAUCUCUGAGCUGAUUGCUGCAGCUGCACCAACCACAUGUGCAAAUUCAAGCAUUGAAGAGAGAGAGAGAGAGGAUAGGUUGUGGGGUGCAGGUGUUAAUGAAGGUAGGGUUGGAGUUUCUGUUGGUUCGUAUCGAUGAAGACGACGGGUCGCACGUGAUUUCGCGGAGGCCGGGCGUGGCUACCGCCUACCUGGAAGUUGAUGCAACCAUUUUCACUUUUCAGUUUUUUUUUCUGUAGUAGCAUAAAAUGUAAUAAAAAUUAUAUUAAAUUUUAUAUAAAUUCCCCCGAAUUCAAAUUUUAA